rnacentral:rRNA from 1 species
GACGAACGCUGGCGGCGUGCUUAACACAUGCAAGUCGCACGAAGUGGCGAACGGGUGAGUAAUACGUGGGUAACCUGCCCUCCUUUUUGGGAUAAGCCUUGGAACCGGGGGCUACUACCGACUAAAGGGGGAGGGGCUCGCGGCCUAUCGGCGUGGUGGUGGGGUGAUGGCCUACAAAGGCGGUGACGGGUAGCCGGCCUUAGAGGGGGACCGGCAACAUGGGGACUGAGAUACGGCCCAGACUCCUACGGGAGGCAGCAGUGGGGAAUAUGGCACAAUGGGCGCAAGCCUGAUGCAGCCAUGCCGCGUGUAUGAAGAAGGCCUUAGGGUUGUAAAGUACUUUCAGCGGGGAGGCGUUACCCGCAGAAGAAGCACCGGCUAACUCCGUGACAGCAGCCGCGGUAAGUC